rnacentral:misc_RNA from 1 species
UACGUAGGUGGCAAGCGUUGUCCGGAUUUAUUGGGCGUAAAGCGCGCGCAGGCGGUUGGUUAAGUCUGAUGUGAAAUCUCCCGGCUCAACUGGGAGGAGUCAUCGGAUACUGGCCGGCUUGAGGAAGGUAGAGGAGAGUAGAAUUCCCGGUGUAGUGGUGGAAUGCGUAGAUAUCGGGAGGAAUACCAGUGGCGAAGGCGGCUCUCUGGGCCUUUCCUGACGCUGAGGUGCGAAAGCGUGGGGAGCGAACCGG